rnacentral:lncRNA from 12 species
GUGGGAUCCAAGGGCAAUUCAAACCAGGGAUUUCUGUGGGAUCCAGGGGGAUUCCAGCCGGGAAUUCCUGUGGGUCCCCAACCGGGAAUUUUUUGUGGGAUCCAAGGAGAAUUCCAGCCAGGAACUGCCUUGACUGGGGGGCUCAGGCGAGGUGGAGAACGCCGGCUGUUCCUCCAGCGACUCCGACUACGACGAGGACGAGCCGCGCAAGUUCUACGUGCACAUCAAACCGGCGCCGCCGCGGGAGGCGCCCGGCAGCGCCGAGGCCGCCGUGGAGGGGGGGGGGGGGGGGGGGGGGGGGGGGGGGGGGGGGGGGGGGGGGGGGGGGGGGGGGGGGGGGGGGGGCGCCCGGCAGCGCCGAGGCCGCCGUGGAGCAGCUCAAGGCCACCGUGGGGAAUCUCAUCCUGGCCCCCGGCCUCGGGGUGAGCCUGGGGGUGCCGCGGGGGGACCCCCGGAAUGCCCGGCGCCGCCUCACCCCGGUCCCCUUGUCUUGCAGGGCACCGUCAGGAGGCAGGCGUCCCGACACGCGGCGUCCCUGACCC